CCAUGGGGUGUCACUGUGGGUCUCUAUGGGGCGUCGCUAUGGGGCUCUAUGGGGCGUCGCUGUGGGUCUCUAUGGGGUCUCUGUGGGUCUGUUUCUAUGGGGCUCUAUGGGGUGUCGCCAUGGGUCGCUAUGGGGUGUCAUUACCGGGAGUCACCACGCGGUGUCGCUGUGGUUUCUACGGGGGUUUCUCUAUGGGGUUCGCUAUUGGGGCGCGCUAUGGGGCUCGCUAUGGGGCUCUAUGGGGUCUCUGUGGGUCUGUUUCUAUGGGGCUCUAUGGGUAGCUAUGGGGUCUUGUUAUGGGUCUCUAUGGGGUGUCACUAUGGGGCUCUUUGGGGUCUUGCUAUGGGGCUCUAUGGGGCUUUUGUGGGUCUGUUUCUAUGGGGCACUAUGGGGCGUCGCUCUGGGUCUCUAUGGGUUCUCUGUGGGUCUGUUUCUAUGGGGCUCUAUGGGGUCUUGCUAUGGGUCUCUAUGGGUCGCUAUGGGGUGGCGCUAUGGGGCGUCGCCAUGGGGCGCUGUGGGGUGUCAUUACCGGGUGUCACCACGCGGUGGCGCUGUGGGGCGCUACGAGUUGUCAUUACCGGGAGUCACCACGCGGUGUCGCUGUGGUUUCUACAGGGGUUCUCUAUGGGGUUCGCUAUGGGGCGUCGCUGUGGGUCUGUUUCUAUGGGGCUCUAUGGGUCUCUAUGGGGUGUCGCUAUGGGGCUCUAUGGGGUCUCUGUGGGUCUGUUUCUAUGGGGCUCUAUGGGUCGCCGUGGGGCUCCAUGGGGCUGUCGCUAUGGGGCUCUAUGGGGUCUCUGUGGGUCUGUUUCUAUGGGGCUCUAUGGGGUCUUGCUAUGGGGCUCUAUGGGGUCUUGCUAUGGGGUGGCGCUAUGGGGCGUCGCCAUGGGGCGCUAUGGGGUGUCAUUACCGGGAGUCACCACGCGGUGUCGCUGUGGUUCUACGGGGGUUCUCUAUGGGGUUCGCUAUGGGGUGUCGCUAUGGGUCUCUAUGGGGUCUUGCUAUGGGGCUCUAUGGGGUCUCUGUGGGUCUGUUUCUAUGGGGCUCUAUGGGUCGCUAUGGGGCGUCGCUCUGGGUCGCUAUGGGGUGUCGCUGUGGGGCGCUAUGGGGUGUCAUUACCGGGUGUCACCACGCGGUGGCGCUGUGGGUCUCCAUAGGGUGUCAUUACCGGGUGUCACCACGCGGU
rnacentral:lncRNA from 1 species